UAUUAAAAAGCAGAGGAGCAAACCACUUAUCGGCACUCUGCGCCCUUGUCCGAAGGGGCACAGGCGCAUCCUUGGUGGCUUGUCCUCUGGGGCCUGCAGAGCUGAGAGGCGGUGGUGUGGACGGGGAUGCCGUGAUGGGGAAGGUGGUCCUUGGCUGUGCUCCGGGCUGGCGACCAGGCCGGGAGCGGAGAGGGGAGAAGACAGCAGAGAAGGGCUGSCGGGACGGCASAGUUGUUGUGACAGCUUCAGUCCCCUGCUGGGGAUAGUCCCUGUGCUUCUGUUUGGACUAUUCAGCCUGAUUACUCCUGUGUGCUAGGUCUCUCCGAAGUACAAGCUCCCCUCUGAAUUCUCCCAUUGCUCCCCAAAGUCCCSUUCCUCGCUGCUCUGCGCCAGAAGRGCUGCUGGAAACCUGCUGCACGCAGUAUUGCUGUGAACCUCUCGCCAGGA
rnacentral:lncRNA from 1 species